GAUUUCUGGUUCGGCGCACUAGGCCCGCCUCGGUUCACGAGGUUGCGUGCCGUGUGCGCCAUCCAUCCUUCGAGAAAACGCUUCUGCCCUUCACUGGGUUGGAUGCGCUAUCUCGAUCUUUUACUUUGAAAAAAUUAGAGUGUUUAAAGCAGGCUUGCGCUAUGAAUACAUUAGCAUGGAAUAAUAAUUUAGGACUUUGUUUCUAUUUUGUUGGUUUCUAGGAAUGAAGUAAUGAUUGAUAGGGACAGUUGGGGGUGCUAGUAUUCAUCGGCCAGAGGUGAAAUUCUUGGAUUCGAUGAAGACUAACUUAUGCGAAAGCAUU
rnacentral:rRNA from 1 species